CGUGCCAGCAGCCGCGGUAAUACGGAGGGUGCAAGCGUUAUCCGGAUUUAUUGGGUUUAAAGGGUCCGUAGGCGGGCCGAUAAGUCAGUGGUGAAAGCCCAUAGCUCAACUAUGGAACUGCCAUUGAAACUGUCGGUCUUGAGUAUAUGUGAUGUUGGCGGAAUGUGUAGUGUAGCGGUGAAAUGCUUAGAUAUUACACAGAACACCGAUUGCGAAGGCAGCUGACAAAUAUAUAACUGACGCUGAGGGACGAAAGUGUGGGGAUCAAACAGGAUUAGAUACCCUGGUAGUCCACACCGUAAACGAUGAUUACUAGAUUUUGGCCUUAUGGUCAGAGUCCAAGCGAAAGUGUUAAGUAAUCCACCUGGGGGAGUACGUCCGCAAGGGAUGAAACUCAAAGGAAUUGACGGGGGGUCCGCACAAGCGGUGGGAGCAUGUGGGUUUAAAUUCGAUGAUACGCGAGGAACCUUACCUAGGCUAGAAUGUGAAGGAAUGAUACAGAAAUGGGAUCAGUCAGCAAUGACCUGAAACAAGGUGCUGCAUGGGCUGUCGUCAGCUCUGCC
rnacentral:rRNA from 1 species